rnacentral:rRNA from 1 species
UAGAGUUUGAUCCUGGCUCAGGACGAACGCUGGCGGCGUGCCUAACACAUGCAAGUCGAGCGGGGGACUUCGGUCCCCAGCGGCGAACGGGUGAGUAACGCGUGAGCAACCUGACCUUUUGAGGGGGAUAACAACCGGAAACGGUUGCUAAUACCGCAUAAGACCACGCUACCGCAUGGUAGAGGGGUCAAAGGAGCAAUCCGCAGAAGGAGGGGCUCGCGUCCCAUUAGAUAGUUGGUGAGGUAACGGCCCACCAAGUCAGCGAUGGGUAGCCGAGCUGAGAGGCUGAUCGGCCACACUGGAACUGAGACACGGUCCAGACUCCUACGGGAGGCAGCAGUGGGGAAUAUUGGGCAAUGGGGGAAACCCUGACCCAGCAACGCCGCGUGAGGGAAGAAGGCUUUCGGGUUGUAAACCUCUGUCGCAGGGGACGAAAAAAAUGACGGUACCCUGUGAGGAAGCCCCGGCUAACUACGUGCCAGCAGCCGCGGUAAUACGUAGGGGGCGAGCGUUGUCCGGAAUUACUGGGCGUAAAGGGUGCGUAGGCGGCUAUUUAAGUUGGAUGUGAAAUACCCGGGCUUAACUUGGGGGGUGCAUUCAAAACUGGAUGGCUAGAGUGCAGGAGAGGGAAGCGGAAUUCCUAGUGUAGCGGUGAAAUGCGUAGAUAUUAGGAGGAACACCAGUGGCGAAGGCGGCUUUCUGGACUGUAACUGACGCUGAUGCACGAAAGCGUGGGGAGCAAACAGNNUNAGAUACCCUGGUAGUNNNCGCUGUAAACGAUGAAUA